rnacentral:rRNA from 1 species
CGCGGGAUUCGGGGCGCAGCAGGCGCGAAACCUCCUCAAUGCACUAACGUGCGAAGGGGUUACCUCGAGUGCUACCUGAAGAAGGUGGCUUUUCCUUGGUCUAAAAAGCCUCGGGAAUAAGAGGGGGGCAAGACUGGUGUCAGCCGCCGCGGUAACACCAGCCCCUCGAGUGGUGGGGAUGAUUAUUUGGCCUAAAGCGUCCGUAGCCGGCCGGGUAAGUUUCCCGUUAAAUCCAGCGUCUCAAGCGUUGGACUGCGGGAAAUACUGCCUGGCUAGAGAGUGGGAGAGGUCAGCGGUAUUCUGGGGGUAGGGGCGAAAUCCUUUGAUCCCCGGAGGACCACCAGUGGCGAAGGCUGCCGACUAGAACACGUCUGACGGUCAGGGACGAAAGCUGGGGUAGCGAACCGGAUUAGAUACCCGGGUAGUCCCAGCCGUAAACGAUGCAUGCUAGGUGUUGGGUUGCCCACGAGCCACCCCAGUGCCGCAGGGAAGCCGUUAAGCAUGCCGCCUGGGAAGUACGAUCGCAAGAUUGAAACUUAAAGGAAUUGGCGGGGGAGCACCACCAGGCCGUGAAGCCUGCGGUUUAAUUGGAGUCAACGCCGGGAACCCUUACCGGAAGCGACAGCAGAGUGAAGGCCAGAUUGAAGAUCUUGCCAGACGAGCUGAGAGGAGGUGCAUGGCCGUCGCCAGUUCGUGCCGUGAGGUGUUCUCUUAAGUGAGAUAACGAACGAGACCCGCGCCACAUGUUGCCAUCAGAAUCUAAAGGAUUGCUGGGCACUCUUGUGGGACCGCAGCCGAUAAGGCUGAGGAAGGGGCGGGCAACGGCAGGUCAGUAUGCCCCGAAUCUUCCGGGCCACACGCGGGCUGCAAUGGUAUGGACAGAGGGCUGCCACCCCGAAAGGGGGAGCCAAUCCCUAAACCAUACCUCAGUUGGGAUUGAGGGCUGCAACCCGCCCUCAUGAACAUGGAAUGCCUAGUAACUGCCAGUCAUCAUCUGGCGGUGAAUACGUCCCUGCUCCUUGCACGAAUUCGCCGAAUCACUAGU